rnacentral:rRNA from 1 species
ACGGAGGGUGCGAGCGUUAUCCGGAAUUACUGGGUUUAAAGGGUGCGUAGGCGGCUUUGUAAGUCAGGAGUGAAAGUUUGCGGCUCAACCGUAAAAUUGCUUCUGAUACUGCAUGGCUAGAAUUAGGAUGAGGUCAGCGGAAUGUGGCAUGUAGCGGUGAAAUGCAUAGAUAUGCCAUAGAACACCAAUUGCGAAGGCAGCUGACUAGACCUGGAUUGACGCUGAGGCACGAAAGCGUGGGGAGCGAACAGGA